rnacentral:rRNA from 1 species
GUCCUACGGGGGGCAGCAGUGGGGGAUAUUGCACAAUGGGGGAAACCCUGAUGCAGCGACGCCGCGUGAGUGAAGAAGUAUUUCGGUACGUAAAGCUCUAUCAGCAGGGAAGAAUAAUGACGGUACCUGACUAAGAAGCCCCGGCUAACUACGUGCCAGCAGCCGCGUCAAUACGUAGGGGGCAAGCGUUAUCCGGAUUUACUGGGUGUAAAGGGAGCGUAGACGGCUAUGCAAGUCUGAAGUGAAAUGCCGGGGCCCAACCCCG